GCCACGGUGGUCUAGCGGUUAUAACGCUGGCCUUGUAAUCCUGGGGUCUCGGGUUCGAUUCCCGGCGGUGCCA
rnacentral:tRNA from 1 species